rnacentral:rRNA from 1 species
AUGGCUGCCGUUGGCGUCACCUUCCCGGCGGCGCCGGCCAUCGUAUCCGCCGCCGUAUGUUCCUCGUCCACGCGCCGCCGAGUCCAUCUUGUCCCUACCCGAUUCUUCGCAGCAGCGUCGUUCAGCGGGCGAUGUGCCGCUACGGCCGACGGCGGGGCCGCGGCCUCGGAGGACCUGGCUGCGGCAGCGGAUGGGUAUCCCGAUGCUGGAACUGACGUCGCCGGCGGCGCUGCCACUUCCACGCGGCCUCCCUACUCGCUCAUCUCCGCCGCCAACGUGCAGAAGGCGAUGCGCGGCCUUGCAAUUACAGAUGCUGAUCACUAUGGGAGGCUUGGAAUUACCAGAUUAGCGUCAACCGGUGAGGUCAAAGCUGCAUAUGAGAAAAGGUGUGAACAACUAAACAAGCAAGGACUGGAAGAAGAGGAAAUCAGCAAGGAACAUGACCUAUUAAAGGAAUCUUUUACCACAUUAUCAACCGAGGAAGAGAGAAGAUUAUAUGAUUGGAGUUUGGCGAGAAAUGGGCAGCCUGAGCGAUAUGUUUGGCCUUUUGAAGUUGACCCCAUGGAGUUGGCACCAGAUCCUCCUAAGGAACCGGAAGAUGAGUUUCCUACAAAGCUUGUCGGCUACUUCUUGUUGACAUGGUUCAUAAUUUCUGUAGCCUGCUCGCUGAUUCUCAACAGAUCAUGA